rnacentral:rRNA from 1 species
ACGAACGCUGGCGGCGUGCUUAACACAUGCAAGUCGAACGGAAAGGCCCUGCUUUUGUGGGGUGCUCGAGUGGCGAACGGGUGAGUAACACGUGAGUAACCUGCCCUUGACUUUGGGAUAACUUCAGGAAACUGGGGCUAAUACCGGAUAGGAGCUCCUGCUGCAUGGUGGGGGUUGGAAAGUUUCGGCGGUUGGGGAUGGACUCGCGGCUUAUCAGCUUGUUGGUGGAGUAGUGGCUUACCAAGGCUUUGACGGGUAGCCGGCCUGAGAGGGUGACCGGCCACAUUGGGACUGAGAUACGGCCCAGACUCCUACGGGAGGCAGCAGUGGGGAAUAUUGCACAAUGGGCGGAAGCCUGAUGCAGCAACGCCGCGUGCGGGAUGACGGCCUUCGGGUUGUAAACCGCUUUCGCCUGUGACGAAGCGUGAGUGACGGUAAUGGGUAAAGAAGCACCGGCUAACUACGUG